AGUGAACGCUGGCGGUAGGCCUAACACAUGCAAGUCGAACGGCAGCACAGUAAGAGCUUGCUCUUACGGGUGGCGAGUGGCGGACGGGUGAGGAAUACAUCGGAAUCUACUUUUUCGUGGGGGAUAACGUAGGGAAACUUACGCUAAUACCGCAUACGACCUACGGGUGAAAGCAGGGGAUCUUCGGACCUUGCGCGAUUGAAUGAGCCGAUGUCGGAUUAGCUAGUUGGCGGGGUAAAGGCCCACCAAGGCGACGAUCCGUAGCUGGUCUGAGAGGAUGAUCAGCCACACUGGAACUGAGACACGGUCCAGACUCCUACGGGAGGCAGCAGUGGGGAAUAUUGGACAAUGGGCGCAAGCCUGAUCCAGCCAUACCGCGUGGGUGAAGAAGGCCUUCGGGUUGUAAAGCCCUUUUGCUGGGAAAGAAAAGCAGCAGGUUAAUACCCCGCUGUUCUGACGGGACCCAAAGAAUAAGCACCGGCUAACUUCGU
rnacentral:rRNA from 1 species